rnacentral:misc_RNA from 1 species
AAAUAUCUCUGAUUUUAUGCGUCAACGUCAGAACGUUUAAAACUUGAGUCUGAAGUUGUUUGUAUUCACAAUUUACAAAUAAAUAUUGAGAAAUGCCUAAAAUACCUAUUUAUUUAAGCAGUGUUUAUGUAUAAACUGUAAAAAGUAUCAAAAUGGAAUUGGUGUCAAACAUAAAAGAACAAAAAGAUAUUAAGAAAACAGAUAAUGAGGUCAAUGAAUUCCAGCACAACAGUUAUGUAGAAAAAGCCAUAACAACUUCUAAAAGAGAAGUAGGUGAUGGUGCACCGGCAGAGACUGAACAUGAGAAAAAUACAAUACUGCCCGAUGCGGAAAAAAUGGAGACGCAUUCAAGUUUUUAUUUACAUUUGAAAAUUGACAUUGUCUGUGCUAGUUUGCUGAUACUCGCCCUUACUACUCGAUUGUAUAGGCUGGAUGAACCUCGUUAUAUUGUAUUUGAUGAACUUCACUAUGGCAGAUAUGUAUCUCUGUAUACCAAAGGAGUGUUUUUUUUUGACGCACAUCCUCCACUAGGCAAACAGUUGCUGUACUUAGCGGGUAGGGCAGCUGGAUAUGAUGGGAAUUUCACAUUUGACCGAAUAGGAACUCCGUACACAGAGAAUGUGCCUGUGAGAGCUCUUAGAUUAGUCCCAGCAUUAGCAGGCAGUUUACUUGUGCCUGUCACAUAUCAAUUAAUGUUAGAGAUUUGUAUGUAUCCAUGGACUGCCAUACUUGCUGCCCUUUUAGUUUUGUUUGAAAACUGUUUUCUAGCUCAAUCAAGAUUUAUGCUCCUAGAAAGUAUACAAAUAUUAUUUGGAUUGUGUGGAGUGUUAUGCGCUAUUAAAAGUACACGAAAAUCUGGACUUGCUUCAGUACUUUGGCUUUGCCUAGGUGCUUUUUUAUUAGGUUGUUGUUUUUCAGUUAAAUAUUCGGGUCUCUACACUUAUUUCCUAUCGUUUUUCCUGGUCGGACGACAUGUAUGGCGACGUUUCAGCUUUUCGGAAUCUGGCGUCCAUCUUGCAUUUUCAACAUUAUGGAGAGUGAUAAUUUUAAUCUGCAUACCAUUAUCUGUCUACCUCGGCGUAUUCUAUGCGCAUUUAGAGAUGUUACCAAAAGCGGGACCUCAUGACAGUGUGAUGACAAGCGCGUUUCAAGCAUCUCUACAAGGUGGCCUCGCGAGUAUAACGCGGGGGCAACCUCUGCAUGUUGCGCACGGCUCGCAGAUUACUCUCAGGCACACACAUGGUCGCACAUGUUGGUUGCAUUCGCACGCGCACGUGUACCCCGUGCGUUACACCGACGGGCGCGGCUCAUCGCAUCAGCAACAAGUGACGUGCUACAGUUUUAAGGACGUCAACAACUGGUGGAUAGUGAAGCGACCUGAGCAAGCCACUCUCGCAGUCGCUCGGCCGCCCGAUGCGAUCCGACACGGAGAUGUCGUGCAACUGCUUCACGGGAUCACAAGCAGAGCGCUGAACUCGCAUGACGUAGCAGCACCGGUGUCGCCGCAGUCUCAGGAAGUAUCUUGUUACAUCGACUAUAACGUCUCGAUGCCAGCUCAGAAUCUCUGGCGCGUGGAUAUUCUAAACCGAGAUUCCGAUGAUGCGACAUGGGACAGUAUUCGCUCUUUAGUCCGACUAAUACAUGUUGAUUCCGGUUCCGGUCUACGCUUCAGCGGUCGACAGCUUCCCUCGUGGGGAUUUCAUCAGCAUGAAGUAGUUGCUGACAAAGUCCUGACACACCAGGAUACUAUUUGGAAUGUUGAAGAACAUCGAUAUACAAAAGGUAUUUGUAAGUGUAAGCGGAAGAUAGACGAGAACGGGAACGUGAACUUGUGAGUGCGGAAAUGAUACCGACUGCUGUGACGCAGCUGAGUUACUGGGAAAAGUUCGCGGAGUUGCAGUACAAGAUGAUUGCGCACGCGCCGGACGCGCCGCACGGACACAUGUUCGCUAGCGAGCCCGUCGAGUGGCCACUGCUAGUGCGAUCCAUUGCUUACUGGCUGUCACCUAACUCUAAUGCACAAAUACAUCUAAUCGGUAACCUUGUAACUUGGUAUGCAGGGACCAUAUCCGUAUUUGUUUAUACCGGCUUCUUGACUUUGUACGCCGUCAGACAACGUCGCGCGUGCGCCGAUUUACCCCAACCAGCUGUGCGGAAAUUCUAUGAUGCCGGUUACAUUCUCUUCCUUGGAUACUGGAUACAUUACCUUCCUUAUUUCUUUGUAGAUCGGACUUUAUUCCUCCACCACUACCUCAC